GCCAGUGUGGUGUAGUGGCUUCAGCAUUGGACUGUGACUCUGGAGACCAGGGUUUGAAUCCCAGCUCAGCUA